ACCUAUGAUGUCACAAUCCAACUUGUCUGAGAUUAUAGUUAACCCAAGACCCUAUUUAUAGGGAGAACCUACUUGGUGUUGCUAUAUGUCCGUUGACAGCAAAUAUUUAACUGAGGU
rfam:Lupinus angustifolius cultivar Tanjil contig_9446, whole genome shotgun sequence.